UCUGAGGACAGAUUUGAACUCAGGUCCUCCUGACUUCAGGGCCAGUGCUCUAUCCACUGAGCCAUCCAGCUGCCCCUAUCUACAGGUAUCUUUGACCACUCAUAAUGGAUCUUACAGGUUGGUGUGAACUGUUUCUGGGUUUUCCAGGUAAGCAUCAGUUACUGGUGUGGUAGCGUAAGCAAGACUGAAUAUAGGUACAAAUCAGUUUGGAUAAAAAGGUGGAGAAGGGAAUAGUAUUAUGGCAACUGCAUUGUGGUGAGCAGAAUAAAGAAGGCACGAGUUUAACAGAAUCAGAAACAAUGAGCCCCAUAUGAAGGCACAGUUUGCCAUCUUGAAGGCACAUGCGUGUUUUCGUGCCUGGCUGUGGGAAAGCAUGUUCAUUUUCCAGGUUUUCAUAAAUGAUCUUCAGUUUGGCUCUGCUUCCAUUAGUGGAAACAUCUGUCUCAAAGAGGCAGCGGAGAGGGUACCCAGGAAGCAGCGGGGGACUUGUAACCCACAAAUGUGGGGAAAUGAAAGGUUCUUCCCAAAGCAGAAAGAGCCAAACUUAGGGAAGCACUGGUUAAUAAAAGCUGUAUUUGGUGUUAAGGGUAUUUAAUUUGUAAUUAGGUGUUUCCAAUUCCUUCAGCCUUGCUCUAACUGGUGUACUACUCAGCUUAUAAGCAAGGAAAAUAUCUUGGAAGAAUUGUCAACAUUUAGAGGGUUGGCUCUGCAGCCCUAAAUGUACAAUGUGACAAGUAGAAAGUCACCUAAGUUGACAACUGAAAAAACCAUUUCCUGAAUGCCGAUCGGUCCCAUUGCCACCGGUUUGGAUUUCCUUGGGAAUCCACUGCAGUAACUUCAUUUUCCUGUGCUACAGUCCUUGUUGGUUUUUCCCAACCACAUCCCAUCCCCGAAGCCCUCUAUUCACCUCUCUGCUCUCCCAGGAUUUGUUCCAGCCCUUUGCAGACUGGAGACAGUCUCAUAUUUUCCUUUGCUAAUAUUCAAAUACCCCUUUAUUUUCUGUUAUGUACAGAGCCAUGGGAGAGGAGUGUGAAAUGGACACCAGAGUCUAUUUUAACAUUUCCAUAGACCCAUUACUUCACAGGUUUCUAUCUUUUAAAGUGGAUUCAUAAGUUUGGGAGCAUUAGCUCUAUGCCCAGACUAGGGUCCAGCCUACUUGAACCUGUAAGAGUCUACCAGCUUUGGAGACUGCUAGAGCAAAAGGCUCCCCACCAACCGUUUUUCCCCACUCACAUCCCAAUGUCAUCCUUGCUGAUGUUAUCUGGUCUAUCCUGAACAUUGCUACUCAUUAAAUUGCUGAAAAUAUCAACUUUACCGGAUCUAUCCCUUGCUGAAAUCCCUGUGAUGGCUUCCCAGCUCUAAGGCAAAGAUGAGCAUCCUCCUGGAAUUCAAGAACUGUGACCAAUUCAAGAACAAAUGUCCAACGGCACAUACCCAAUCCUACCCAUCGCUACAUGCUGGGAUGGACCAUUCUGGCCUUGGGCUCUUCCUUCACCUGCUGGGUUCUGGGCCUUUCCCCUUCCUUCCAGCUACCUAAAUCUUACCCAUUUUUCAGAGCUCAGCUAAAGUUCCACCUCCUUCCAUGGAGCCUUACCUGACCACUGCAGCUACAGAUUUCUGCACCCUCCUUUUCAGAUGUUCUGUAAUACUCCUUAUCUCACAAAUUGUGUAAGAAUUUAAUCACUUGUUGUCUACUAACUCUUUCAUAUGCAGGGUAGGGAAUAAAUCACAUUUCUUUUGUACUCUA